ACAGCAUGGUUGCCAUGUGCAGGGACACCUGCCCCUAUAUUCAGUGCCUUGGGGCUGAAUUUUGUGAAGUUCUCCCCUACCCUCAACCUCUAGCCAAAGUAGCUGCUUGUGCGUUGUAGUUCCUGUCUCCACGACAGUUUUAGCUCCCCUCCUCAGCCACUAGAUCGAUCUGCCCUUGUUCAUCACAACCAACUCCUGUGUCUGGUGACCACAACAGCAAUCCUUCAACCUCAUCAUGGCCAGGGUUCGUGGAGAUUGUCUCGGCCGUGUUGUGCCCAUUCCUUGUUCCUCACAGGAGAAGUUUUAUUCCCUUAUCUUUUGGUUAGUUACUUCAUGUGGAGGCCUUGAAGCUUAGAAUGUUUAUGUGUAUCUCUUAUGGAAAGGCUUCACCCUUCCAAUUAUUGUAAUAAGUUAUGCACUUUGGGUACUAUCAGGACUUGUAAUAAAUACAUCUCUUUCUACCUUGUAAAACUUGAGUUCUGGAAUGUAAAGUGUACUUUAUAAAAGUCUUCCGCUCUAUCU
rnacentral:lncRNA from 7 species